GGCUGUCAUCGUGAUUCAGACGUGCAGGACGCGAAAUCGGCUGGCUGCGUCCAUCUUCGUCAUUCUCUCACUCGCCUCCUGCGCCAUAGCAGCGUGGCAAAUAUACGGCACUAACAUGACACCAUUCAUGGUCCUGGUGCAAGGGUCGUACAGCACCGUCGUAGAGACGAUGAACCACUACUACAUGCUUCCGUUCUACCACGGGGUGUGCUUCUUCUCUGGCUGCAUCACGUUCCUCGCCGUAGAGAAAUACGGCAAGGCCAGCAUUUCCA